UUUCUUAGCCCAACAUGAGAGGCUUACACAUGUACCCCUUUUCCCCAAACUUGUGAACUUGUCUGAUAUGUAGUCUCAAGUUUAUAAGCUUCCCUUAGAAAAAGUUCUAUUUCAUUUCUACAAAUCAUACUUCUCUCAUUUUAUAAUCCUUGAAAUGGAUAGUGCUGCCUCAUCUUAGAUGAGGCAUUCAACAGUUUUAAUUUCUAAGUUAUAAAUUAUUAUUUCUUCUUCUUUUUUAAACGUCUUAGAGACAAAUCUGUCUAUUUCACAUAGGAAGCCAGUUGAGUUGUUCCUCACGCUUUCCCCACGAAGCUGCAUCUGAAGGACUUCCUCACCCCCCCGCUGUGAUCACAAGUUAUGCCUCACAGAUUCAUUUCCUUAUGAAUGACUUCAGGAAGCCAGCAUUUUUAAUAAAUAGGAAGUAAAUUAUAUUUAAUGACUAAAUUCUCACCUAAAGUUGAUACUAAUAUUACAAUAACUCUCUUGUGCCCUAUUUUGGUGUUUUAAACUUCUUUGCUGUACAUUUAAGAAAAUCAGAAUUUCAGUAGACUCCUCGUGCAGUCUGAGGAGGCAGUUUCCUAUCUGGUUUGACUUAAGGGGCUGCAGAAGACAUUCUUAUCCCACAUAUUUCUUCUGCUGAUCAGUCAGCAACUGAAAUUCCAACUAAUGGAUUCCAUUCUUCCAGUUAAGACAUCAUCUCCAGAAAACUGUGCUAGUUGGCAUCCAGCAGUGCCCAAGUAUUAUUUAACCCACUAGAACCUGUGACUGCAUCAGCUUUAUAUCCUGGACCUCAGCCUGGAACAAAGGAGAGCUACACUUGGAUACUAAACACAAGUGGUCUGGAUAGAUUAUGCUGGGAAAAGAAGCCUGGAGCAGGCAGUACAGUGGGAGAACAAGGAGAGAAUGGAGUUGCAGCAGACUGCUCAGGAAUUGUACAUCACCAGUAGCUUCUGUCUCAGCUAAGUGUGGGAGACUGAUACUGAUGAGCCAUUAACAAUGGUGGAGAUUCUGAAUCACUGAAGCACUUGAUAAAAGAAAUGUCGUGGGUGAUGUGAAAAUCUACAUAUGCCCAUGAGAGUAUAUUGAGUUUGUAAGUGUUGUUGCUUAGUGUGUCACAGAGAAGUUUAUAAGAAACUAUUUUGGAGUAAGAAACAACACAGAAGAACACAGUUUCAGCCUGAAAUGGCUUAUUUAGCCACUGACCAUCAGAAACAAUUACUUUUUACCUUAACCUAGAUUUGUAAUAGCAGGAUGCAUUGAAUUCCUUCAUUGAAGUGAAACCUUAGCAAAUCUUUAAGUAGUACUCUAAAGUGACAAAAGGUGUUUACAUUUACUAAUGUAAAUUUCUUGUGGAGAUAAAGUUUUUAUUCUUCUUGGGUCUCAAGACUGCUCAAGAAGGAACCAUCGUUUGUUCUACACUGCUCUGUUCUAAAUGUUUGUUCCCCCAAUAUUCAUAUGUUGAAAUUCUAACCCCCAAGGAGAUAGUAUUAGGAGGUGGGGCCUUCGGGACAUGAUAAGGUCAUGAGGAUGAAGCCCUCAAGAAUAAGAUUCAUUGCCUUAUAAAGAAAAACCAGAAAGAUCCCUCAUUUCUUCAAUCAUAAGAAGACACAUGAGCAAGAAGACGGCCAGCUAUGAAGCAGGUCGUGGGCCCUCGCCAGACACUGAAUCUGCCAACACUUUGAUCUUGGAUUUCCUAGCCUGCAGAACUACAGAAGUGCUUGCCUUGGUGAUCCAAAAAAGGCAGGAUCCGGCCGGGGGCAAGGUGAUUAUUCUGUCUGAUGAGGAGAAUAAGAGCCAGUUUGUGGUAUUGACAGAAGAAUGAAAGUAAAG
rnacentral:lncRNA from 1 species